GUCAGGAUGGCCGAGUGGUCUAAGGCGCCAGACUCAAGAACCGAGGUUCUUCGCCGACAUGAGGUGUUGAGUAUUCUGGUCUCCGAAUGGAGGCGUGGGUUCGAAAAUCCCACUUCUGACA
rnacentral:tRNA from 1 species